rnacentral:lncRNA from 1 species
GAUCCAUCCAUGUUGCUGCAAGUGGCACUAUUUCAUUCUUUUUUAAUGGCUGAGGAGAUUGCCAUUGUAUGUAUAUAAAUAUACACACACACCACAUCCUCUUUAACCAUUCAUCUGUCAAUGGACAUUCAUCUAUGAAUGCUUUCAUGUCUUGGCUAUGCCAAUAUGCAUCUAUGAAUAUUGUGGUGAAUGUAUCUUUUCAAAUUAGAGUCUUCUCUGGAUAUAUGGCCAGGAGCAGGAAUGCUGGAUUAUAUUGCAACUUUCUUUAGUUUAAUUUUUUUUUUUUUUGGCAAACCCACAGUAUGCAUAAGUUCCCUGGCCAGGGAUCAAACCUGCACCAUAGCAGUGACAACACUGGAUACUUAACUGCUAGGCCACCAGGAAACUCCCUAUUUUUGGGUGUUUAAGGAACUUCCAUACUGUUUUCCAUAGGAGCUGCACCAAUUUACAUUCUCACCAGUAGUGUAGGAGGAUUCCCUUUUCUCCACACCCUCUCUAGCAUUUACUAUUUGUAGACUUUUAAUGACGGCAAUUCUGACCAGUGUGAGGUGAUACCUCAUUGUAGUUUUGAUUUGCAUUUCCCUGAUAAUUAUCAAUGUUGAGAAUCUCUUCAUGAGCCUACUGAGCUAUUUGUCAUCUUCAGAAAUAUGUCUAUUUAGUCUUCUGCCCAUUUUUUUGUUUCUUGGUAUUGAGUUGUAUGAGCUGUUUGUAUAUUUUAGAAAUUAAGCCUUUGUCAGUCACAUCAUUUGCAAAUAUUUUUUCCCAGUCCAUAGGUUGUCUUUUCAUUUUGUUAAGAUUGUAAAUUUGAUUGUGCCCCAUUUUGUUUAUUUUUACUUUUAUUUCUAUUGCCUUGGGAGACUGACCUAAGAAACUCUGCUAUGAUUUUUGUCAGAGAAUGUUUUGCCUAGUUCACCUCUAGGAGUUUUAUGGUGUCAUGUCUUAUAUUUAAGUGUUUAAGCCAUUUUGAGCUUAUUUUUGUAUAUUGUAUGAGGGAGUGUUUUAAGUUCAUUUAUUUACAUGUGGCUGCUCAGCUUGUCCAAGACUACUUGCUAAAGAGACUGUCUUUACUUCAUUAUAUAGUCUUGUCUCCUUUUGUUGAAGAUUAAUUGACUAUGGGUGUGUGGGUUUAUUUCUGGACCCUCUAUUCCCUUCCAUUGAUCCCUAUGCCUGUCUUUGUGACAAUACUGUGCUGUUUUGAUUACUGCAGCUUUGUAGUAUUGUCUGAAGUCUGGGACAGUUAUGCCUCCAGCUUUUCUCAGGAUUGCUUUGGCACUUGUGGGUCUUUUAUGAUUCCAUGUAAAUUUUAUGAUAAUUUAUUCUAGUUUUGUGAACAAUGUCAUGGGUAAUUUGAUAGGGAUCCUAUUAAAUUAGUUGAUUGCUUUGGGUAGUAUGGCCAUUUUAACAAUGUUAAUUCUUCCAAUCCAAGAGCAUGGGGUAUCUUUCCAUUUCUUUGGAUCAUCUUAAAUUUACUUUAUCAAUAUUUUAUAGUUCUCAACAUACCGGUCUUUCACCUCCUUAGUCAUGUUUAUUCUUAAGUUUUCUGUGUUUGGGCUGUGGGAUGGAAAUCCUGUAAAAUUGGAUUGUUAUGAUCAUUAUACAACUACAGAUGUGAUUAAAUUCAUUUGAGUAAUAAAAAAAUACUAAAAAAAAUAAAAGCUAUUGUUUUUAUUUUUAAAACACAACCUGUAUUUUUUAGCAUUUCCCCAGUGGUGCCCUUGUACAACAAAGGUUGAGAACCAUUACAGUUAUCACUCAACAAAUAUUUAUAAAACUGUGCUCAUCCAUACUAGGAAAUAAAAAAGAUUUCUAGAUUAUCUAGAAUAGGGUUUUUACAGGUCAUUCCUGCCUCUGAGAAAUCUAGACACAUGACUAUAUGGAGAGUAACUUAUUUUUUUAAGUUGCUUGGUUUUCCCCCAAAAAAUAAAGAAGAAAUCAAAAUGAGUACAAAUAGCAGAAGGUUGCUUAAACCUAAACAUCCAUUGUCAGAGGAUUGAUUAAAUAAUAAUGAUGUGCCUCAAAAUUGGAAUUCUAUAUAGCCACUGAUAGGGAAACUCUCUAGCUGCAGACAUACACCAAUACCCAAGACAGAGUAAAUGAAAAAACUAAGAUACAAAGCAAAAUUUGGUGGCUGUUUUGGGUUGUGUUCCUUAUCCCUGGUACCAUUGAAGUUGACUGUAUUUGCAGAAGAUGAGGCCAGACUAGAUUAGGGUGGGCUCAAGUCCAAUGACUGGUGUCCCUUUAAGAAGAGAUAAACUUGCAUACAGACCCAGAAGGUCACAUGAAGAUGGAAACAAAGAUUGGAGUGAUGGAGCCCCAGCAGCUAGGAUAGAGGAAGGGAACAGAUAGAUGUUCCCUCAGAACCUCCAGAAAAAGCAUAUCCUACCAACAACUAGAUUUUGGACCUCAAGCCUCCCUAUUGUGAGAAAGUAAGGUUCUAUUGUUUCAAGCCACCCAAUUUGUGGUGAUUUGUUAUGGCAGCCCUAGAAAACUAAUACAGUAGCUUAUCAUUUCUGGGAAUCUAUCUAUCUAUCUAUCUAUCUAUCUAUCUAUCUCUAUCUCUCUCUCUCUCUCUCUCUCUCUCUCUCUCUCUCUCUCUCUCUCUCUCUAUCAUCUAUCUAUCCAUCUAUCAAUACUAAAACUCUUUCCGAAAGGAUACCCAAGAAACUGAGGCCAAAAUGACUUCUGGGAAAGACAUGAGGAUGGCUGGGAGCAAGGGAAGAAAGAGAGAUUUACUUUUCAGUGCAUGCUCUUUUAUGUUUUUUGACUUUUGUACUAUAUUCAGAUGCUAUUUUAUUUCAUUUUCUUUUUUAGGGCUGCACCCAUGGCAUAUGUAAGUUCCCAGGCUAAGGGUAAAAUAGGACCUAUGCUAUAGCCACAGCAAUGCAGGAUCUGAGCUGUGUCUGAGACCUAUACCACAGCUCAUAGCAAUGCUGGAUCCUUAACCCACUGAGUGAGGCCAGGGAUCAAACCCAUGUCUUCAUGGAUACUAGUCAGGUUUGGUUACUACUGCACUGCCAUGGGAACUCCAAAUACUAUUUAUUUUUAAAAAAUCAAUGAUUUUACAAUAAUUGUGAUUUUUUUUCCCCCAGCUUGGGUCAGCUGCAGAAAUAACCCAAGAAAGCUGCUUUAACCUCUCAGGGCCUCAGACUUCACAACCAGAAAAUGGGGAUAAUAAUACCAAUUAUAGCCAACCCUUAAAAAAAUGCACCAACCCCUCACACAGUUGAAAAUCCACAUAUAACUUUACAGUUGGCCCUUUGUAUCUGUGGUUCUGCCUCUGGGGAUUCAACCAGUGUUGGAUGGUGUAGCACUGUGGUACAUCUUUAUUAAAAAAAAAUCUACACAUAAUUGGAUGCACACAGAUCCAACCUCUGUUAUUCAAGGGUCAACUGUACCUUACACACAGUGCAUGAUGUGCCUGGAAGGGUGCCUGGCAGAGAAAAGGGCUCAAGGAGGGAUCAUAUUGGCUAUGGUGUUUUUUUUUUUUUUUUUUUGUCUUUUCUAGGGCUGCACACAAGGCAUAUGGAGGUUUCCAGGUUAGGGGUCUAAUUGGAGCUGUAGCUGCUGGCCUAAGCCACAGCCACAGCAAUGUGGGAACCAAAACGCGUCUGUAACCUGUACCACAGCUCAUGGCAAAGCCGGAUCCUUAACCCACUGAGCGAGGCCAGGGAUCAAACCUGCAACCUCAUGGUUCCUAGUUGGAUUCGUUAACCACUGAGCCACUACAAGAACUCCUGGCUAUGGUUUUUAUGGCUAUUAUGUGAUUAAGGUGCCUGAAUAAUAGUUAAAAUCCAAACAAGGGAUCAUGGGUGGAACACUGGAAGGGCCACACUAAACUGUGGUGGCAACUAAUAAAGCUGGCACCUAAUCAAGGAUAGCAUCUGCUCCACGAAGGAGAUCUUCCUCAGCAGCCUUCCUCAACAGCAGCAGUGCCACCUUCAUAGCUGGAUAAUUCUAGGUUGUGGGUCUGUGCUGCACACAGUAGGUUUUAGCAUUGCUUGUCUUUGCCCACAAGGUGCCAGGAGUAUGUCUCCCUCAGUUGGGUUCAUCAAAGAAGACUCCUGACAAUGGCUCCCAUCCUCUGGUGAACAAAACUGGCUUAGCUGAGAACCACUAGUCCACAGAUUGGCAGUUCCCAACAUGUGCCACCCAGACCAGCAAUAAAUAUUACUGGGAACUUCUCAGAAAUGCAGAAUCUGGGCCCCAUCUCAGACCCACCGUAGCUGAACCUGCAUUUUAACAAGAUCUCCCUGUCACAUUAAAAUGUGAUCAGCAUUCAUCAACACCAGUGGCUCUCCCCUUCUCUUAUAAACAUAGGAAACCUUGCCCCUUUGAGUAAAAACACAUAUUACUGGCUCCUACCCAACCUGAGAAAGGGCUGGGAGUAGAUAUUUUAAAGUGAAUCUUAGGAUCAAGAAGUUUGGGGAAACUCUACCGUGUUUAUAUAGAGAAACAAAAUUUAGCAAUUCCUUUCUAGAAUUGCAUGGGCAGAGAGUGUCUUGGAUCCCAAACUUGUUCUCUGGAUAUUUAUCAAGUCCUCACUGAGCACUGGCCCAGGGACAAGUGGCUAAAAGAGACCCAUCUCCUGAGUGGCACCGAGCUGACAGCCCAAAGUGCACUGGAUGGCGCAGAAGUAGAGUCCAGCUGACAUUGUUAGAGAACUUCUACAUCUAACUGUGUUGGAAUCCUUUGACUUCCUGGUCCCAUAAGCAAAUAAAGUUUGGUUUUGGAAUUCCUGUUGUGGUUCAACGGUGAUGAACCUGACUAGUAUCCACAUGGAAGAGGGUUUGAUCCCUGGCCUCACUCCGUGGGUUAAGAAUCCAGCAUUGCUGUGACCUGUGGUGCAGGUCACAGACACAGCUCAAAUGCUGGGCUGCUCUAACUGUGGUAUAGCCUGGCAGCAGCAGCUCCGAUUCGACCCCUAGCCUGAGAACCUCCAUAUGCUGCAAAUGCAGCCCUAAAAAGCAAAAAAAAAAAAAAAAAAAAAAAAAA